GUUUAAGUAGUUUAUAAAAAAUGUAGAUUUGUGGUUUCUAUGAAAUCUUAAUGAUCUUAAUCU
rnacentral:tRNA from 1 species